GGGCGUUUAGCGCAGUGGUAGCGCGUAUGCUUUGCAUCUAGCAGCUUUUGUAUAAGGUCCAGGGUUCAAUCCCCUGAACGUCCA